rnacentral:SRP_RNA from 1 species
GCCAGGUGUGGUGGUGCACACCUGUAAUCCCAGCUACUUGGGAGGCUGAGGCACGAGAAUUGCUUGAACCCGGGAGGUAGAGGUUGCAGUGAGCCGAGAUCAUGCCACUGCACUCCAGCCUGGGUGACAGAGCAAGACUUUGUCUUAA